AGGACGAACGCUGGCGGCGCGCUUAACACAUGCAAGUCGAGCGAGAACCUUUCCUUCGGGAUUGGGGACAGCGGCGAACGGGUGAGUAACACGUGGGUAAUCUGCCCUUGACAUCGGGAUAGCCCGGGGAAACCCGGAUUAAUACCGAAUAGCCUCCGGAGCCCUCGGGUGCCGGAGAAAAGGUAGCUUCGGCCUCUGGUCAAGGAUGAGCCCGCGGCGGAUUAGCUUGUUGGCGGGGUAAUGGCCCACCAAGGCGACGAUCCGUAGCUGGUCUGAGAGGACGAUCAGCCACACUGGGACUGAGACACGGCCCAGACUCCUACGGGAGGCAGCAGUGGGGAAUCUUGCGCAAAUGCGGGAAACCGUGACGCAGCGACGCCGCGUGGGGGAAGAAGGCCUUCGGGUUGUAAACCUCUUUCAGGAGGGACGAAGCUACUCGGGUUAAUAGCCCAGAGGGUGACGGUACCUUCAGAAGAAGCCCGGCUAACUACGUGCCAGCAGCCGC
rnacentral:rRNA from 1 species